UAAAAUAUAGUGUAAUAUAAAUAUUUGGCCGUUAACCAAAAGAAAUUCUUAGGAAUUAUUUUAU
rnacentral:tRNA from 1 species